CCGGCUCCGGUUCACCCGUUCACCAACUGGGACCCGGCGGCC
rfam:Lechevalieria aerocolonigenes strain NRRL B-16140 contig31.1, whole genome shotgun sequence.